ACGCACGCUGGCGGCGUGCUUCACCCAUGCAAGUCGAACGGAAAGGCCUCUUUCGGGGGGUACUCGAGUGGCGAACGGGUGAGUAACACGUGAGUAACCUGCCCUUGACUUUGGGAUAACUUCAGGAAACUGGGGCUAAUACCGGAUAGGAGCUCCUGCUGCAUGGUGGGGGUUGGAAAGUUUCGGCGGUUGGGGAUGGACUCGCGGCUUAUCAGCUUGUUGGUGGGGUAGUGGCUUACCAAGGCUUUGACGGGUAGCCGGCCUGAGAGGGUGACCGGCCACAUUGGGACUGAGAUACGGCCCAGACUCCUACGGGAGGCAGCAGUGGGGAAUAUUGCACAAUGGGUGGAAGCCUGAUGCAGCAACGCCGUGUGCGGGAUGACGGCCUUCGGGUUGUAAACCGCUUUCGCUCAUGACGAAGCUUUGUGUGACGGUAGUGGGUAAAGAAGCACCGGCUAACUACGUG
rnacentral:rRNA from 1 species